rnacentral:rRNA from 2 species
CGCUGGCGGCGUGCCUAAUACAUGCAAGUCGAACGAACUCUGGUAUUGAUUGGUGCUUGCAUCAUGAUUUACAUUUGAGUGAGUGGCGAACUGGUGAGUAACACGUGGGAAACCUGCCCAGAAGCGGGGGAUAACACCUGGAAACAGAUGCUAAUACCGCAUAACAACUUGGACCGCAUGGUCCGAGUUUGAAAGAUGGCUUCGGCUAUCACUUUUGGAUGGUCCCGCGGCGUAUUAGCUAGAUGGUGAGGUAACGGCUCACCAUGGCAAUGAUACGUAGCCGACCUGAGAGGGUAAUCGGCCACAUUGGGACUGAGACACGGCCCAAACUCCUACGGGAGGCAGCAGUAGGGAAUCUUCCACAAUGGACGAAAGUCUGAUGGAGCAACGCCGCGUGAGUGAAGAAGGGUUUCGGCUCGUAAAACUCUGUUGUUAAAGAAGAACAUAUCUGAGAGUAACUGUUCAGGUAUUGACGGUAUUUAACCAGAAAGCCACGGCUAACUACGUGCCAGCAGCCGCGGUAAUACGUAGGUGGCAAGCGUUGUCCGGAUUUAUUGGGCGUAAAGCGAGCGCAGGCGGUUUUUUAAGUCUGAUGUGAAAGCCUUCGGCUCAACCGAAGAAGUGCAUCGGAAACUGGGAAACUUGAGUGCAGAAGAGGACAGUGGAACUCCAUGUGUAGCGGUGAAAUGCGUAGAUAUAUGGAAGAACACCAGUGGCGAAGGCGGCUGUCUGGUCUGUAACUGACGCUGAGGCUCGAAAGUAUGGGUAGCAAACAGGAUUAGAUACCCUGGUAGUCCAUACCGUAAACGAUGAAUGCUAAGUGUUGGAGGGUUUCCGCCCUUCAGUGCUGCAGCUAACGCAUUAAGCAUUCCGCCUGGGGAGUACGGCCGCAAGGCUGAAACUCAAAGGAAUUGACGGGGGCCCGCACAAGCGGUGGAGCAUGUGGUUUAAUUCGAAGCUACGCGAAGAACCUUACCAGGUCUUGACAUACUAUGCAAAUCUAAGAGAUUAGACGUUCCCUUCGGGGACAUGGAUACAGGUGGUGCAUGGUUGUCGUCAGCUCGUGUCGUGAGAUGUUGGGUUAAGUCCCGCAACGAGCGCAACCCUUAUUAUCAGUUGCCAGCAUUAAGUUGGGCACUCUGGUGAGACUGCCGGUGACAAACCGGAGGAAGGUGGGGAUGACGUCAAAUCAUCAUGCCCCUUAUGACCUGGGCUACACACGUGCUACAAUGGAUGGUACAACGAGUUGCGAACUCGCGAGAGUAAGCUAAUCUCUUAAAGCCAUUCUCAGUUCGGAUUGUAGGCUGCAACUCGCCUACAUGAAGUCGGAAUCGCUAGUAAUCGCGGAUCAGCAUGCCGCGGUGAAUACGUUCCCGGGCCUUGUACACACCGCCCGUCACACCAUGAGAGUUUGUAACACCCAAAGUCGGUGGGGUAACCUUUUAGGAACCAGCCGCCUAAGGUGGGACAGAUGAUUAGGG